GAUAGUUACUAAUGUAUUUUUUCCUAAUGUGACACUAUGCUAUUGGCGCACUGUCUAAAUCAGUGUAUGAGAAGAUGUUUCUAUGGAUGGUAGUGAGAAUCAACCAAUCUUUGGACACCAAGCAGCCUCGACAGUACUUCAUCGGUGUACUGGACAUUGCUGGAUUUGAGAUAUUUGAUUUCAACACCUUUGAGCAGCUGUGCAUCAACUUCACUAAU